AGGGGAAACGACAUCGAAAGCUUGCUUUUGAUGGGCGUCGACCGGCGCACGGGUGAGUAACGCGUAUCCAACCUGCCCAUCACUUGGGAAUAACCUUGCGAAAGUAAGACUAAUACCCAAUGACAUCCCACGAAGGCAUCUGAAAGAGAUUAAAGAUUUAUCGGUGAUGGAUGGGGAUGCGUCUGAUUAGCUUGUUGGCGGGGUAACGGCCCACCAAGGCAACGAUCAGUAGGGGUUCUGAGAGGAAGGUCCCCACAUUGGUACUGAGACACGGACCAAACUCC
rnacentral:rRNA from 1 species